rnacentral:ncRNA from 22 species
CCUGAAGUAACCCCUCAAACCUGUGUAGCCCAGGGGAUUGGCCCUGGGGUAUCCACGACUCGACCGUAAUCGAGUGAGGCCACGGGAAACGAAUAAAAUCGU